AAAUGGAGAACAGCUGCUCACGCUCGUCGUCUGACAUCAGCUAUUUCUCAGGAUGACCCUGCGAGACAGGCCAGGGUCAUUAGACCCAAUUUGGUUCUCAGCAAAUAUGUGUUUAUUCCUGCAUGCGUGGGCCACAGGCUGGUUUCUUGGGUGCAAUGAAUAGCUGCAGGUUUAUUAGGGUGUCUUUUUAGAUGGAUGUAUGUUUCCCGAUGUCUAUAGAACACUCCGGACCCCGGAGAGUGAAGACUCUGCCUGUCGGACUUGCUUUGAGAAGAUCCUUCUCCACCUCCCCAUGGCAGAAGUUGCUUCACAGAGGGGAACAGUUUUAUGGAUGUGGCUGAGACCUUAAACUUGAGGCAACCCAUCUGAGGUGGCAUCCAGAGGAGACUGGCUGGCCCCUCCUUCACCUUGGAUGUAGUGCUGUUUCUAGGAUCUCUUUUCAAUCAGCAAAACAGGGGAUGUUCCAAGAGGGUGUGGAUUCCCUGCCAUCCCACAUGGUCAAGUGGAGGGGACGGGAAAAAGCUAUGAAGGGUUUGUGACCACACAGACUCUCCUGGCCCCCUGUCCUUUUGGAAAGAAGACAGGGAUGAAAUAUAAUCAAGCAAUUAACCACCCCCAUCAUCACCAAGAACAACAGUAUCAACAAGAAGAACAGGGACAACAAAACCCACGGAUGAAACAUUCCUUUCUCAGCUCAGAUCUUAUCUGGUGCGUUCUCUCUCUGCUCUGUCUUGGUGUGUGGUUUAGAGAAACAUGGACAACGCUGUUUGGAAGAACAGGUGAGCGAGGGUGGGGAAUUUCAGAGGCCUGGGCCCACCGCCUCCACCCCUUCCCCAGUUUAACCUUUGACAGGAUCUUCACCUCUCUCUGAUCAGCAUUGCUUCUUGUUCAAAGGCCUCAGCCACCCAGCUGUGUCCCUUUCCCCAGAAAGCAAGGGCAGAUGGCAGUGGGUCUGUUGAUGAGAGAACUUUAAGGGCCCAAUCAGUCCCUGGGCACCCCCUCCUGGGCUCGUUUUCUCCAGGAGGCUGCAUUCUGAUCCAUAAACCUUCUCCUCGGGGUUUAGGGUCGAGCUGUUCCUGAUGUUUAUCGGAGACUGGGAUCAAAGCUAUCCAGGUCAUAAAUCUCUCUCUGUGGCUGUUGGGCCCCAGGGCAGCUGAAGAGGGUUGACAGCCCUUUGGACCUCAAAGGAAAAAAUGUGCUCUACUCCACCCACUCCCAGCUCUGCCAAGAAGCUGUCCUCUGAGAAGCCAUGGCUGGGCCGUUCCAUUCUGGGGAGCUGCUGAAAAGAGCUGGGAGGCCGAGAAGAACUUGCGUGUGCUGGGGGAGAGGAAGCCUGGCCUUGAGGGAGGGGUGCAGGUGUGGCUCCUCUGUGUGUGGGGGCUGGGGGACCUUGUGUGCCUUUUCCUUGUGGCUGUGAAAUGCUUUAUGAGUACUUCCAUAGGAGGAUGGACAGGGAGUCGGGGAGAUAAACUCAGCCACAAGGCCCCAGGGCCUCAGGAAACUUGCACCCAACCCUCUCAUUUUACAGAAGAAAACUGUGCCUGGAAGGUUGAAGGGUUUGUUCCCAGUCACACAACCAGGGAUCCUUAGGACAGCCAGACCAGGAAACCAUUUCCAAACUGCCAAGCCAUGGCAGAGUAUCAAGACCUCAGGAACCAUCGAGACACCAUGGAAGCAUUGGGAAAAGCCUCCUUAGCUUUUGAAGCUCCUCAUUGUUCUUGAGUGUGCAUGGAGCCCAUGACUGCGGGGUUUUGUAGACACCUCAGGGAUUACAUGACUGGUACCCCUGACAAAGUCAAGGCUGCUGGACAAAAUGAGUCCGAGGAUUUCAGGGGCAGCUGGGCGCAGGAGCUGGUGGGCUGUUGGGAGUGCCCCUUUACUGGGCAGGCUUCCUUCCUCCUGGUGAUGGGGGGUUCCUCAGCACAAAAGUGAAGGGGUGGAGGGGCUGGAGGAGCAGGAAUCUCUCUUGUUGAUAGGUAUGAGGCCUUGAAGUCCUUUUCUUUGUCCCAGGAUUCAUGGACGCUUCGGGGCUGAUCUUUGAGUUUUCAAGCAUGGGGUGCAGAGACGUUUAGGUAAACUCUUACCGUCCUCUCUCUUCGUCAGGGCUUCCCAGGAAUCAACAAUGCCCAAGAAGGAAGGGAUUGUAGAAAUAGCUUAACCCUUUCAUUUACCAACGUGGAAAUUGAAGCCCAGGGAAGGGAAGGGACCGGUCGUGGAAGGGAGAGCCAUCAGCAGAAAGAGACCCUGAGAUCUUCGCCUGGGAUUCCCAGGAAGUCCAGCCCGAGCUGAUUCACAGAACAAAUGCAUGCAAACCUUGCUAUCAAUAAAUUACACAUGCACUUACGUA
rnacentral:lncRNA from 1 species